rnacentral:rRNA from 1 species
UACGGGGGGAGCAAGCGUUGUUCGGAUUUACUGGGCGUAAAGGGCGCGUAGGCGGCCUCCGCAAGUCAAUUGUGAAAUCUCCGGGCUUAACUCGGAAAGGUCAACUGAUACUGCGGGGCUAGAGUGCGGAAGGGGCAACUGGAAUUCUUGGUGUAGCGGUGAAAUGCGUAGAUAUCAAGAGGAACACCUGCGGCGAAGGCGGGUUGCUGGGCCGACACUGACGCUGAGGCGCGAAAGCUAGGGGAGCAAACGGG